CUCAAUCCUCAUGGCCGCUCUUGACUGACUGAACCGAUCCCUCCCUCGGAGGGCAUUCCCCACCAGAUCAGCUCCUCCUCCGGUGGGCCACGCUGCCGUGGGCGCGGAGCGAAGGCCUCCGGUCAAUCCGUCCUGCGGGUGAGGAACCCCCGUCUUUCUUUUCUUGGAGCUGAUUUUGCGCUGGUUCUUGCUCGCUGCUCAACGAUCUCUGCUGGUUUCCUUGCAGAGCACCGAUCGGGCUUUGGUUUCCGGCCGUUUUGUUGGAGCUUGGAAGGGGGCCAAGCGGAGGGGCCGAGGCGAGGAAGGAAGUAGACUGAAGGUGGGGUGAGAUUGAGAAGGGGAAGCAG
rnacentral:lncRNA from 1 species